GGACGAACGCUGGCGGCGUGCCUAACACAUGCAAGUCGAACGGAGCUGAGGAGCUUGCUCCUUAGCUUAGUGGCGGACGGGUGAGUAACGCGUGAGUAACCUGCCUCUGAGAGGGGAAUAACGUUCUGAAAAGAACGCUAAUACCGCAUAACGUAUUGAAGCCGCAUGACUUUGAUACCAAAGAUUUUAUCGCUCGGAGAUGGACUCGCGUCCGAUUAGCUUGUUGGUGAGGCAACGGCUCACCAAGGCGACGAUCGGUAGCCGGACUGAGAGGUUGAUCGGCCACAUUGGACUGAGACACGGCCCAGACUCCUACGGGAGGCAGCAGUGGGGGAUAUUGCGCAAUGGGGGCAACCCUGACGCAGCAACGCCGCGUGAAGGAUGAAGGUUUUCGGAUUGUAAACUUCUUUUAUCAGGGACGAAAUUUGACGGUACCUGAUGAAUAAGCUCCGGCUAACUACGUGCCAGCCGCUGC
rnacentral:rRNA from 1 species